GGCCUAAUUCGAGGUCGGAAGACGUAGGCGAUGGACAACGGGUUCAAAUUCCCGUCCCGCUCUGGCACCGUUUGAGCAAUGGCGUGACGCAGGGGGCUAGGUCCGGGGGUCUAUACGACCCUCCAAGGUGGUAGGGAGUCCUGAUAGGCAAAUCCGUUGGGACGGUGACCGAGAGCUGAGUGGAAGCUGCGGCCGACAUGGCCAAAGCGGACGGAUUGAUGCCGAACUGUCAAGAAAAGCGUCUAGCGAGGGGUCGGAGCGACCGUACCGCAAACCGACACAGGU
rnacentral:rRNA from 1 species